AGAGUUUGAUCCUGGCUCAGAUUGAACGCUAGCGGUAUGCUUAACACAUGCAAGUCGAACGGUAACAGGCUCAGCUUGCUGAGUGCUGACGAGUGGCGGACGGGUGAGUAACGCGUAGGAAUCUACCUUAAAGUGGGGGAUAACCUGAGGAAACUCAGGCUAAUACCGCAUGUGCCUUACGAGGUAAAGCAGGGGACUUUCGAGCCUUGUGCUUUAAGAUGAGCCUGCGUCGGAUUAGCUUGUUGGUGGGGUAAAGGCCUACCAAGGCAACGAUCCGUAGCUGGUCUGAGAGGAUGAUCAGCCACACUGGGACUGAGACACGGCCCAGACUCCUACGGGAGGCAGCAGUGGGGAAUAUUGGACAAUGGGCGCAAGCCUGAUCCAGCAAUACCGCGUGUGUGAAGAAGGCCUGCGGGUUGUAAAGCACUUUCAGUAGGGAGGAAGGCCUUAGUAAUAAUACUACUGAGGAUUGACGUUACCUACAGAAGAAGCACCGGCUAACACUGUGCCAGCAGCCGCGGUAAUAAGGGCGA
rnacentral:rRNA from 1 species